UACGGGGGGGGGCAAGCGUUGUUCGGAAUUACUGGGCGUAAAGGGCUCGUAGGCGGCCAACUAAGUCAGACGUGAAAUCCCUCGGCUUAACCGGGGAACUGCAUCUGAUACUGGAUGGCUUGAGUUCGGGAGAGGGAUGCGGAAUUCCAGGUGUAGCGGUGAAAUGCGUAGAUAUCUGGAGGAACACCGGUGGCGAAGGCGGCAUCCUGGACCGACACUGACACUGAGACACGAAAGCGUGGGGAGCAAACAGG
rnacentral:rRNA from 1 species